rnacentral:rRNA from 1 species
UGGGGAAUAUUGCACAAUGGGCGAAAGCCUGAUGCAGCGACGCCGCGUGAGGGAUGACGGCCUUCGGGUUGUAAACCUCUUUCAGUAGGGACGAAGCGCAAGUGACGGUACCUGCAGAAGAAGCACCGGCUAACUACGUGCCAGCAGCCGCGGUAAUACGUAGGGUGCGAGCGUUGUCCGGAAUUACUGGGCGUAAAGAGCUCGUAGGCAGUUUGUCACGUCGUCUGUGAAAUCCUAGGGCUUAACCCUGGACGUGCAGGCGAUACGGGCUGACUUGAGUACUACAGGGGAGACUGGAAUUUCUGGUGUAGCGGUGGAAUGCACAGAUAUCAGGAAGAACACCGAUGGCGAAGGCAGGUCUCUGGGUAGUAACUGACGCUGAGGAGCGAAAGCAUGGGUAGCGAACAGG